AGCACAGGAGGGGUACGGCUGGAAAAACCGCCGUGCAACCCAAAGGUGUGACGCAUACCGAACUAAAGUAGGGAAAUGUGUGAGCCGGCUGCCGAGAAAAGCCGCUAUUGUUUGUACUGUACCCGUACCGUAAACCGACACAGGUGGAUGAGGAGAGAAUCCUAAGGCCGACGGAAGAAGCAUUGCUAAGGAACUCGGCAAAAUGACCCUGUAACUUCGGGAGAAAGGGUGCCUCGAAAGAGGCCGCAGAGAAUAGGCCCAAGCAACUGUUUAGCAAAAACACAGGUCUAUGCAAAACCGCAAGGUGAAGUAUAUGGGCUGACGCCUGCCCGGUGCUGGAAGGUUAAGGGGAGAUGUCAGGAGACGAAGCAUCGAACUUAAGCCCCAGUAAACGGCGGCCGUAACUAUAACGGUCCUAAGGUAGCGAAAUUCCUCGUCGGGUAAGUUCCGACCCGCACGAAAGGCGUAAUGAUUUGGGCGCUGUCUCGGCAAUGCAUCCGGUGAAAUUGAAGUGCCAGUGAAGAUGCUGGCUACCCGCGCCAGGACGGAAAGACCCCAUGGAGCUUUACUCCAGCUUGAUACUGGGAUUCGGUAUUGUAUGUACAGGAUAGGUGGGAGGCUGAGAAAUGGUGACGCCAGUCGCCAUGGAGCCGCUGUUGGGAUACCACCCUUGCAGUACUGGAUUUCUAACCAGCAGCCGUGAUCCGGCUGGGGGACAAUGUCAGGUGGGGAGUUUGACUGGGGCGGUCGCCUCCGAAAGGGUAUCGGAGGCGCUCAAAGGUUCCCUCAGAAUGGUCGGAAACCAUUCGAAGAGUGCAAAGGCAGAAGGGAGCUUGACUGCGACACCGACGGGUGGGGCAGGUACGAAAGUAGGACUUAGUGAUCCGGUGGUAUUAAGUGGGAAUGCCAUCGCUCAACGGAUAAAAGCUACCCUGGGAUAACAGGCUUAUCACUCCCAAGAGUUCACAUCGACGGAGUGGUUUGGCACCUCGAUGUCGGCUCAUCGCAUCCUGGGGCUGUAGUAGGUCCCAAGGGUUGGGCUGUUCGCCCAUUAAAGCGGUACGCGAGCUGGGUUCAGAACGUCGUGAGACAGUUCGGUCCCUAUCCGGCGUGGGCGUAGGAUAUUUGAGAGGAGCUGACCUUAGUACGAGAGGACCGGGUUGGACUGACCUCUGGUGCACCGGUUGUCAUGCCAAUGGCACAGCCGGGUAGCCAAGUCGGGAAGGGAUAAACGCUGAAGGCAUCUAAGCGUGAAGCCCCCCUCAAGAUGAGAUAUCCCCCGCAUAAGCGGUAAGACCCCUUGAAGACGACGAGGUAGAUAGGGCAGAGGUGGAAGUGCAGUAAUGUAUGGAGCUGACUGCUACUAAUAGGUCGAAGGCU
rnacentral:rRNA from 1 species